GAUGAACGCUGGCGGCGUGCCUAAUACAUGCAAGUCGAGCGAACGGACGAGAAGCUUGCUUCUCUGAUGUUAGCGGCGGACGGGUGAGUAACACGUGGAUAACCUACCUAUAAGACUGGGAUAACUUCGGGAAACCGGAGCUAAUACCGGAUAAUAUUUUGAACCGCAUGGUUCAAAAGUGAAAGACGGUCUUGCUGUCACUUAUAGAUGGAUCCGCGCUGCAUUAGCUAGUUGGUAAGGUAACGGCUUACCAAGGCAACGAUGCAUAGCCGACCUGAGAGGGUGAUCGGCCACACUGGAACUGAGACACGGUCCAGACUCCUACGGGAGGCAGCAGUAGGGAAUCUUCCGCAAUGGGCGAAAGCCUGACGGAGCAACGCCGCGUGAGUGAUGAAGGUCUUCGGAUCGUAAAACUCUGUUAUUAGGGAAGAACAUAUGUGUAAGUAACUGUGCACAUCUUGACGGUACCUAAUCAGAAAGCCACGGCUAACUACGUGCCAGCAGCCGCGGUAAUACGUAGGUGGCAAGCGUUAUCCGGAAUUAUUGGGCGUAAAGCGCGCGUAGGCGGUUUUUUAAGUCUGAUGUGAAAGCCCACGGCUCAACCGUGGAGGGUCAUUGGAAACUGGAAAACUUGAGUGCAGAAGAGGAAAGUGGAAUUCCAUGUGUAGCGGUGAAAUGCGCAGAGAUAUGGAGGAACACCAGUGGCGAAGGCGACUUUCUGGUCUGUAACUGACGCUGAUGUGCGAAAGCGUGGGGAUCAAACAGGAUUAGAUACCCUGGUAGUCCACGCCGUAAACGAUGAGUGCUAAGUGUUAGGGGGUUUCCGCCCCUUAGUGCUGCAGCUAACGCAUUAAGCACUCCGCCUGGGGAGUACGACCGCAAGGUUGAAACUCAAAGGAAUUGGCGGGGACCCGCACAAGCGGUGGAGCAUGUGGUUUAAUUCGAAGCAACGCGAAGAACCUUACCAAAUCUUGACAUCCUUUGACAACUCUAGAGAUAGAGCCUUCCCCUUCGGGGGGGCAAAGUGACAGGUGGUGCAUGGUUGUCGUCAGCUCGUGUCGUGAGAUGUUGGGUUAAGUCCCGCAACGAGCGCAACCCUUAAGCUUAGUUGCCAUCAUUAAGUUGGGCACUCUAAGUUGACUGCCGGUGACAAACCGGAGGAAGGUGGGGAUGACGUCAAAUCAUCAUGCCCCUUAUGAUUUGGGCUACACACGUGCUACAAUGGACAAUACAAAGGGCAGCGAAACCGCGAGGUCAAGCAAAUCCCAUAAAGUUGUUCUCAGUUCGGAUUGUAGUCUGCAACUCGACUACAUGAAGCUGGAAUCGCUAGUAAUCGUAGAUCAGCAUGCUACGGUGAAUACGUUCCCGGGUCU
rnacentral:rRNA from 1 species